UUGCCCCAGUAACGGCGAGUGAAGCGGCAACAGCUCAAAUUUGAAAUCUGGCUCCUAGAGCCCGAGUUGUAAUUUGUAGAGGAUGCUUUUGAUGCGGUGCCUUCCGAGUUCCCUGGAACGGGACGCCAUAGAGGGUGAGAGCCCCGUCUGGUCGGAUGCCAAAUCUCUGUAAAGCUCCUUCGACGAGUCGAGUAGUUUGGGAAUGCUGCUCAAAAUGGGAGGUAUAUGUCUUCUAAAGCUAAAUACCGGCCAGAGACCGAUAGCGCACAAGUAGAGUGAUCGAAAGAUGAAAAGCACUUUGAAAAGAGGGUUAAAUAGUACGUGAAAUUGUUGAAAGGGAAGCGCCUAUGACCAGACUUGGGCCCGGUGAAUCAUCCAGCGUUCUCGCUGGUGCACUUUGCCGGGCACAGGCCAGCAUCAGUUUGUCUUGGGGGAAAAAGGCUUUGGGAACGUGGCUCCCUCGGGAGUGUUAUAGACCAUUGCAUAAUACCCUGGGACGGACUGAGGUUCGCGCAUCUGCAAGGAUGCUGGCGUAAUGGUCAUCAGCGACCCGUCUUGAAACACGGACCAAGGAGUCGUCUUCGUAUGCGAGUGUUCGGGUGUAAAACCCCUACGCGUAAUGAAAGUGAACGCAGGUGAGAGCUUCGGCGCAUCAUCGACCGAUCCUGAUGUUCUCGGAUGGAUUUGAGUAAGAGCAUACGGGGCCGGACCCGAAAGAAGGUGAACUAUUCCUGUAUAGGGUGAAGCCAGAGGAAACUCUGGUGGAGGCUCGCAGCGGUUCUGACGUGCGAAUCGAUCGUCAAAUAUGGGAAUGGGGGCGAAAGACUAAUCGA
rnacentral:rRNA from 1 species